UAUCUAUUUUCCUAAAUGGAAGAGAGUAAGUGCGAUGCUUUUUAAAUAAAAUGUACAUGAUAGAAAGUAAAAUAGGUAGCAAACCUGAGCUCAAAAACAAAUCCCAUUUUCUUGUUCUCAACGUCUUCCCCUCUCUCCAUCUUAUCUCCUUGAAUUGUAGCACUUCGACAAAUCUUUCUUUUGCAAGUCUCCACUAUAAACUACGGGAAUUCACAGAAAGAAUAUUUUAAAUUCUCCUUUUCUUAUCUUGAAGCUAAAAAAAAAAUCCUCUUUUUUAUCAAACAAAUAAUAAUAAGAAAAUCCUCCAAGCAAACCCUUCAUGAUUUUUUCAUAUAUUAUAUCUAUAAGUAUAAACCCCGUCAAA
rnacentral:lncRNA from 1 species